GAAAUCUGUUCUAUAUUUUUUCCAGAACUGAUGAAAAUAAUUCAAGAAAACUGGGCAGGUUUCGGGGGGGGGGGUGCGGACAACACAGUAUUGUUCAAUAUAGUUUUAAAGCUAGGAAGAAAGGAAAUGCUAUUAAAUCCUUGUAUGAACCAUCCAGUAAUUAGUCAGAGAGGACUUCCUGGAGGAGAAGAAGGGAUUUCAAGAUCCAAUUAAACAGAGACCAGCCAGAGGCUUGGAUCCAAACUUGAGAGCAAAAGCCUGAGAAAACAGAUGGGUCUCCCUUAGUGACCUGCAGAUCAACAGCCUCCCUGCCUGGCAGCUGGACCAGAAGGAGUUCAGGACUCAGGGCUCUGCAUCAGAAACAUGCUGCGUCCAUCCCCUGGAGUUCAAAGUGAGACACUGUCCCCUACAUGCCCUUCUUUGAUCGACUGUUGAGAAGACUGUUUGGGAAUGCGACCAGGAUUGCUGUCCCAGUGGAUUAAGGCAAUCCUGGAGCCAAAGCAGUAGGAUUAGGAAAGGUUUUGAGGUGGUGGGGGUGGACAAAAAAUUUAAAAGGCAUAUUUAUUUGCACUAGAGAAAUGAAUGGGUUUUUAAGGCAGAACCUAUCCUCCAAAAAAACUUUUAUAAGAAAUAUGGAGGUUGAAAUUUAAAUUUUGAAUUCAUUUCAAUGAACUAAAACUAGGUAAGUUGAUGUGGUGGUGACUGAUGAGAAAUGGUACAAUAAAAAUUUAGCCUACCAGUGACCA
rnacentral:lncRNA from 1 species